GUAUGACUGGGUAGGACUCACUGUGGCGGACUGGAAGACAUUUGUUAUUGUUGACGACAAAGAUUUACUUCAUGGAAAUGCCUUAUUUUAUAUAAUGACAUAAGAAAGAAACGGGCUUGAAGUAAUGUAAAACUACUAACAGUAAAUCAAAACAGGGCCUAAAAGAUCAGGGGAAGUAAAAGGGUUUUAUGGAUAAAGCGUCACUUAUUUGCUUUCACGAUGCCGAUUUUCUUCCGGAAAAUCAAAUGGCUUUAAUGGGUGGUGUGACCGAGAGUGACGAUUGAGACGUUACAUUGCGUGACAUGGAUAUCAGGAUUCCGCUGGCUAUAAUACAACGACGUGUUCAAAAUAAAUUAUGAUCUUCAACUGUCACUCGCUUUUCGCGCUUUUAUCGAGAGUAACGAAGCCCAGUUUGAAAGGCAGUGUAUCUAGCAGCAUGAUUGGAAAUAUUAGGAAUGGUAGUACAUGUAAUGGAGUCAAUGGAAGUACUGAUCAUUCAGUGAACAGAAACAUCACAGUGGCUAUAGAAGGAAACAUUGGUAGUGGAAAGACAAGUCUUUUGAAGUUUUUCAAGCAAAAUUCAUUGGUAGAGGUAG